CUUUAUUAAAAGUGAUCAUCUUUAAAAUGUGGUUAUAAUGUGUUUAAACAUCUAUUUGCAUAGUUGUAUUUCAUUUUAAUAAUGGUUCAUGUGAGAAGUGUAAUUUCCUACACAGAGGCAGUCUUUGAAUGUAUCAUGAGUUUGUGUGAGAGAGCGCAGCACGAGAAGCCGCAGAGAUCCUGUUCGGCGGCCAUAAGCCAACAUCUCCGUGUUAAACUGGCUUGUUUUUGGACUGUAAACAGUAAUUUGUGCCGUGGUUUGUCCCCAUGAUAAUCCACAACUUAAUGGCUGCAAACUCUCAGAGACUGAAGUUGAAGUUGUAGCCUCAAUUCUGAAGUCUAACCCCUCUCAUCUGACUGAAGUGGAGAUAAGAGAGAUCUAUGGAGUGAAAGACUCUGGAAUGAAGCAUCUGUGUGAGAUACUGAAGAGUUCAGUCUGCAGAGUUAACAUCCUGAGGUU